CCUGUCGGUGUAACUGGCAUGUCGCGGCAUGUCCUGUCGGUGGUGAACGGGAUCCCCGGUGCUGUUAAGGCCGUCAGGUCGAAGCAUGUACCGUGUGUGUUUCCGUUUGCCGAUCUCUCCUACUCCGGUGCUCUUAAACGAGUGUCGAGGUAGGCCGACACGUUCACUUUGAACAAAUUAGAGUGCUUAAAGCAGGCUGAAAUAUCUGCCUGAAUAGUGGUGCAUGGAAUGAUAAAACAGGACCUCGGUUCUAUUUUGUUGGUUUUAGGAAUAUGAGGUAAUGAUCAAUGUGGACUGGCGGGGGCAUUCGUAUUGCGACGUUAGAGGUGAAAUUCUUGGAUCGUCGCAAGACGCACUAGAGCGAAAGCAUUUGCCAAGUAUGUCUUAAUUGAUCAAGAACGAAAGUUAGAGGUUCGAAGGCGAUCAGAUACCGCCCUAGUUCUAACCAUAAACGAUGCCAGCCAGCGAU
rnacentral:rRNA from 1 species